rnacentral:pre_miRNA from 1 species
AAAAAGACAAAUCCUAGCUUCCGUGUCCAACGUUUGACCAUCCGUCUUAUUUGAAAAAAUUAUAAAAAAAAAUAAGUCACGUAUAAAGUAUUAAUCAUGUUUUAUCAUCUAACAACAAUGAAAAUACUAAUUAUAAAAAAAAUUUAUAUAAGAUGGACAGUCAAACGUUGGCACGGAAACCCAGGAUUUAUCUUUUU